GGCAAAACUGAGUUUUAUUUGCGCUCUCUGCUCUUCCUACAUUUGCGAGCCCUCCCCCAGCCCGGGAAGAGCUUCCGCGAUGAUGGGCACAAGAGGAGCCCUUUGCCUCUGGGGGUGCCUCUGGGCCGUCCUCACCGUGCCGCGGGCUGGAGCCCUCACAGUUGGGGGUAAAGUAGCUGCUUUGGAAGACGGUGAUCAGGCAUUCAAACAACAUGGCCGGUCCAGCAAAGUUGAGGUUGAAGGAUCAACACUGGUGGUCUUUGCUUCUUCCAAAAGCCUGGAGGUGAAUGGCCAGAAUGCAGACACUUGCCAGUUUCUACAUCACCUGUUCCAUCCAUCUUGUGAGGUGGCGGUGGCGGCAGCAGUGAGGCAAGAGCUCAGGAGCCGAGGUGCACCUCUCUGAGCUGCGCCCCCUGUCCGGCCGGCCCCACUUCGACAAAGGAUGGGUUUGGUGGUCGCUGCGAUGAAAGAAACCUGGUGCAACGGCUCCAUUUUCGGCAUCCACAACUCCGUCGGGAUGCUCUACAUCUUGCUGCAGAAAAGACCCCACGCUCCAGUUCAAGACAGCUAUUCCGGUGUCUGUCUCCUCUCAGGGGCUACUCGCUUCUUGUCCGGGGAUGCUGCUGUGGCCCAAGACGCAGGAAGGCCGCGGCGAGGAAAGGCCUCCAGCGGCUUCUCGCUCUCCCUCCCUCCCCCCAUUGGGCUCCACCUUCAGGACCCUCGCAACGUGAACCGGCGGCUCCAGGGCCAGAACUGCCAUCCCGCCACCAUCCUAUGCGGGAGGCCUGGCUUCUGCAGGCCGAGCCACACCCAGAACUAUGGGGAUAAGAGGACUAUGACUGAGAGAGUGUGGCUAGCCUUGCAAAGUAGCCCAGUGUCUUUAACACCUAUUUUGCCAAAGUGAGGGGGGAGGUAGUUUGUGUUAACUUUGAAUUGUAUUACAAAUUGGAUUGCUUUUAUUGUGUAUUGUUUUAUUGAUGUAUUAUUGAUGUUUUAUUUGUGUUUUUUUAUAUUUUUUGUAAGCCGCCUUGAGGGCCUUUUGGCCGGAAGGCGGGGUAGAAAUAUUAAAAUCAAUCAAAAUCAAUCAAUCAAAAUGCUAGCAUUAGUCCGUCUGUCUUCCCAAGCAAUUUGCAGAAUUUUCCGGAGGCAGCAUUGGUGGAAUCUUUCAAGAAGGUGGGAGUGGCAUUUAUAGAUGGUCCAUGUUUCGCAGGCGUACAUUAAGGUCGGUAGUUGGUAGUAAGGUUGGUCUCCCUGCAAAUAUUCCGAUCCUUGAACACUCUAUGCUUCAUUCAGUGUUGCCAACCUUGACUGGAAUAAACUCACCAGGGCUUCAGACAGAAAACCUUUCUAACCCUACCUGACAAUGCUGGGACGGCAACCGCAUUGAACCUUCUGCAUACAAAGCAGACACUCUUCCAGUUAGCUACAUUUCACAUCUCUGUCUGUUGAGAGUCUCGACUUCUUAUUCUGUUAGACAUCUUUUAGACUUUCCUCUUCACCCAGGCAUUUUAGCAAGUGUUUUAAAAUUUGUAUAUUUGUUUUUAAUUGUUGUAAAUUGCCCAGAGAGCUUUGGCUAUGGGGCAGUAUACAAAUGCAAUAAAUAAAUUGGCCAUAACAGCAACCACAACUACAUUGGACGUAACAGCAAAGACGUGUCACAUACCCAAAUACUCACACGAUCGCCCGAGUGAACACCAGCCCCAAAUGAACAGAAUCAGACUCACCUCCCACCUCCAGAGGAUGUCUCAGUAAUCCGGAAGGGCUCUUCGUGAACCUUUACUUACUCUCAACAAGCACCAUCCUGGAAGCCCCUUCCUUCUGGACAAAAUAAACAUUCUACUUUUCUUUGUUGCAAAUUUGGGUAGAGACACACUUACUGUUGUGCCAGUUCCAGUGCGUCUACCUCUCUUUUCUCAAAAUGGGGGCAUAUGAUGCUUAAUUUCUUUUUAAAUUCAGCUUCAGGGAGAUUUCACAACUGAUUGGUAGAUCAACCCCUUUCUGUUCCAGGUGUGGCCAAUGGAAAAGCUUUGCUGCAGGCUCAGGCAGAGACAGUGAUUGGCUGCUUUGUUGUGGGACGUCCUAAAAGGUCCGAAGGCAGCAGUGGGGAAGGAAGCUGUGCCAGCCGAGGGCAGAGUCUCUUCAAUACGCAGGCAGAAAAAUCAUUCUUGCUGUUUUUAAAGCAACUCAUGUUCCCACAGCCUUAGCCCCAUGUUCUUCCUCGUAAUCCAAAUGAUAACUAGCCAGAUAUACUAAAGGCACUUUGCCUUUAUAAACCUCUUGGAUACUUUCCUUCCAAAUCUGUUUCAAUCCCAGGUUGGCUGCUGGGGGUGGCAGCUUGGAAGGGGUUGGUCUUACUACCACCCUCUUUAUCAGACUCAAAAUCUUUUUCUUUCCCUUUUUGGCUACUUCUUGUUGUUGUUAUGUGCUUCCAAGUCGACUAUGACUUAUGGUGACCCUAUGAAUCGGCGACCUCCAAGAGCAUCUGUCAUGAACCACCCUGUUCAGAUCUUGUAAGUUCAGGUCUGUGGCUUCCUUGAUGGAAUCAAUCCAUCUCCUGUUUGGCCUUCCUCUUUUUGUACUCCCUGCUGUUUUUUCCAUCAUUAUUGUCUUUCUUAGUGAACCAGGUCUUCUCAUGAUGUGUCCAAAGUAUGAGAACCUCAGUUUCAUCAUUUUAGCUUCUAGUGACAGUUCUGGUUUAAUUUGUUCUAACACCCAAUUAUUUGUCUUUUUCGUGGUCCAUGGUAUCCGCAAGGCUAUCCUCCAACACCACAUUUCAAAUGAGUUGAUUUUUCUCUUACCAGCUUUUUUCACUGUCCAACUUUCAAAUCCACACAUAGAGAUCGGGAAUACCAUGGUCUGAACGAUCCUGACUUUAGUGUUCAGUGAUACAUCCUUGCAUCUGAGGACCUUUUCUAGUUCUCUCACA